CCUACGGGAGGCAGCAGUGAGGAAUAUUGGUCAAUGGGCGGGAGCCUGAACCAGCCAAGCCGCGUGAGGGAAGAAGGUACAGCGUAUCGUAAACCUCUUUUGUCAGGGAACAAAGGUGUGGACUAGUCCCCGUAUGCGGGUACCCGAAGAAUAAGCAUCGGCUAACUCCGUGCCAGCAGCCGCGGUAAUACGGAGGAUGCGAGCGUUAUCCGGAUUUAUUGGGUUUAAAGGGUGCGUAGGGUGGGUUUUAAGUCAGCGGUGAAAGGGUGGGGCUCAACCCCAACAGUGCCGUUGAAACUGGCAGGCUGGAGUGGGUGAGAGGUACGCGGAAUGCGCGGUGUAGCGGUGAAAUGCAUAGAUAUCGCGCAGAACCCCGAUUGCGAAGGCAGCGUACCGGCUCCAAACUGACGCUGAGGCACGAAAGCGUGGGGAUCGAACAGGAUUAGAUACCCGGGUAGUC
rnacentral:rRNA from 1 species